UUACGGCCAUGUCACGUUGAAGCACUAGUUCUCGUAUGAUCACCGAAGUUAAGCAACGUCGAUUCUGGUCAGUACUUAGAUGGUUGGUCCUUUGGGGAUGCCAGAUGUUGUAA